GGUGUCAGCCGCCGCGGUAAAACGUAGGAGGCGAGCGUUAUCCGGAUUUACUGGGCGUAAAGCGCGUGCAGGCGGUCAGUUAAGUUAGGCGUGAAAUCUCUCGGCUUAACCGGGAGGGGUCGUUUAAUACUGGCUGACUUGAGGGUAGGAGAGGGAAGCGGAAUUCCCGGUGUAGCGGUAAUAUGCGCAGAUAUCGGGAGGAACACCAGUGGCGAAGGCGGCUUUCUGGCCUGCUCCUGACGCUAAGACGCGAAAGCUAGGGUAGCGAACGGGAUUAGAUACCCCGGUAGUCCUAGCUGUAAACGAUGGAUACUAGGUGUGGCUGGUAUUGACCCCAGCUGUGCCGAAGCUAACGCGUUAAGUAUCCCGCCUGGGGACUACGACCGCAAGGUUAAAACUCAAAGGAAUUGACGGGGGCCCGCACAAGG
rnacentral:rRNA from 1 species